UUUGACUGUGGCCAUGCUGGAGCACCAACUUUAGUCGAAGAAACUGACCCCAGGACUUAUUCUUUCUUCCUCUGCAAAUAUACAAAUUACCCACAACCUAUAAGUUAGUGACACUUAGCUCCUAUUAACCACACUGGCUAUCCAUAAUUAAGGAUAACUCCCUCAGAUUACACCACCGGUCAACAAGCUAAACACGCAGACAUGUGGAAGUCAUGCUAAUAACUAACUACGAGACUUCAGAUUCAACCAUCCUCUAUUCUUCAACUAUCUCACAACGAACUUAAUGAACUUUGAACACAACUAAAAUGUAAGACUUUCAAAUCAUUGGACUUUUUUUUUUCUGAUUUCUCCGUCUAUCUUUCGCUCUAUUCCCCUCUUUGUCUAUCUCUGCCUUCUUCGUUCUGAUGAUGUCUACCAUUUGGUACACAGAAACAGCUGUAAACCUCCUCUUACUCUCACCUUGCUUAAUUAAUUAAAUAAUGGCUUUUUAGCACAACAGAUACACUUUUA